UUGCUUGCUUUGGCAGCACAUAUACUAAAAUGGGAACAAUACAGAGAAGAUUAGCACAGUCUCUGCCUAAGGAUGAGACAGAAAUUCAUGAAGAGUUCCAUAUUUUU
rnacentral:snRNA from 1 species